rnacentral:misc_RNA from 1 species
AGCUUGAGAGUUCAAUGGAGAAUCAUUGUUGGGCUCUCCGAGGAGGCUCUGAAUGGAAAGAAGCACAGUCCGAACAUCAUAAGCAGACGACCACUUAUCCUGGAGAAUGUCCAAGCAGAUAUUCCCAAAGAGAUCGACAUUCGGGUGGAAGCACGGGGUGUCAAACUUCACCUUGGGAGGCUUGAAGGGGUAGUCAGAUGUGAAGUUGAAGGAAAG